UUUCAUUUUACAAAAAUAGCUAUGUAUACCUGGGGGUCUGAAUCACUUCAUUCAAUACCAAGAAAAAGGACCGGUUAACAUAUCGUUAUCCAAACCGGUUGAUUCACAUUUAUUAGGAUGUGUGCUCGCAUUGAAAAUGAGUGAG
rnacentral:pre_miRNA from 1 species